rnacentral:rRNA from 1 species
UACGAAGGGGGCUAGCGUUGCUCGGAAUCACUGGGCGUAAAGCGCACGUAGGCGGAUUGCUAAGUCAGGGGUGAAAUCCUGGAGCUCAACUCCAGAACUGCCUUUGAUACUGGCGAUCUUGAGUCCGGGAGAGGUGAGUGGAACUGCGAGUGUAGAGGUGAAAUUCGUAGAUAUUCGCAAGAACACCAGUGGCGAAGGCGGCUCACUGGCCCGGUACUGACGCUGAGGUG